AGCGUAAACUCCUUUUCUUAGGGAAGAAUUCUGACGGUACCUAAGGAAUAAGCACCGGCUAACUCCGUGCCAGCAGCCGCGGUAAUACGGAGGGUGCAAGCGUUACUCGGAAUCACUGGGCGUAAAGGGCGCGUAGGCGGAUUAUCAAGUCUCUUGUGAAAUCUAAUGGCUUAACCAUUAAACUGCUUGGGAAACUGAUAGUCUAGAGUGAGGGAGAGGCAGAUGGAAUUGGUGGUGUAGGGGUAAAAUCCGUAGAUAUCACCAAGAAUACCCAUUGCGAAGGCGAUCUGCUGGAACUCAACUGACGCUAAGGCGCGAAAGCGUGGGGAGCAAACAGGAUUAGAUACCCUGGUAGUCCACGCCCUAAACGAUGUACACUAGUUGUUGGGAUGCUAGUCAUCUCAGUAAUGCAGCUAACGCAUUAAGUGUACCGCCUGGGGAGUACGGUCGCAAGAUUAAAACUCAAAGGAAUAGACGGGGACCCGCACAAGCGGUGGAGCAUGUGGUUUAAUUCGAAGAUACGCGAAGAACCUUACCUGGGCUUGAUAUCCUAAGAACCUUAUAGAGAUAUGAGGGUGCUAGCUUGCUAGAACUUAGAGACAGGUGCUGCACGGCUGUCGUCAGCUCGUGUCGUGAGAUGUUGGGUUAAGUCCCGCAACGAGCGCAACCCACGUAUUUAGUUGCUAACGGUUCGGCCGAGCACUCUAAAUAGACUGCCUUCGUAAGGAGGAGGAAGGUGUGGACGACGUCAAGUCAUCAUGGCCCUUAUGCCCAGGGCGACACACGUGCUACAAUGGCAUAUACAAUGAGACGCAAUACCGCGAGGUGGAGCAAAUCUAUAAAAUAUGUCCCAGUUCGGAUUGUUCUCUGCAACUCGAGAGCAUGAAGCCGGAAUCGCUAGUAAUCGUAGAUCAGCCAUGCUACGGUGAAUACGUUCCCGGGUCUUGUACUCACCGCCCGUCACACCAUGGGAGUUGAUUUCACUCGAAGCCGGAAUACUAAACUAGUUACCGUCCACAGUGGAAUCAGCGACUGGGGUGAAGUCGUAACAAGGUAACCGUAGGAGAACCUGCGGUUGGAUCACCUCCUUUCUA
rnacentral:rRNA from 1 species